UACGUAGGGUGCAAGCGUUGUCCGGAAUUAUUGGGCGUAAAGAGCUCGUAGGCGGUUCGUCGCGUCGGCUGUGAAAUCCCGAGGCUCAACCUCGGGUCUGCAGUCGAUACGGGCGGACUGGAGUUCGGCAGGGGAGACUGGAAUUCCUGGUGUAGCGGUGAAAUGCGCAGACAUCAGGAGGAACACCGGUGGCGAAGGCGGGUCUCUGGGCCGAUACUGACGCUGAGGAGCGAAAGCGUGGGGAGCGAACAGG
rnacentral:rRNA from 1 species